rnacentral:rRNA from 1 species
CCGCGGCUGCUGGCACCAGACUUACCCUCCAAUUGAUCCUCGUUAAAGGGUUUAGAGUGUACUCAUUCCGAUUACGGGGCCUCGGAUGAGUCCCGUAUCGUUAUUUUUCGUCACUACCUCCCCGUGCCGGGAGUGGGUAAUUUGCGCGCCUGCUGCCUUCCUUGGAUGUGGUAGCCGUUUCUCAGGCUCCCUCUCCGGAAUCGAACCCUAAUUCCCCGUUACCCGUUACGACCAUGGUAGGCGCAGAACCUACCAUCGACAGUUGAUAAGGCAGACAUUUGAAAGAUGCGUCGCCGGUGCGAUGACCAUGCGAUCAGCAUAAAGUUAUUCAGAAUCACCAAGUUAUACGAUGACGAGCCCCCGAUAUGAGAACCCGCCACCGAUUGGUUUUGAUCUAAUAAAAGCACUCCUUCCGUCUCCGGUUGGAGCUCUAUUUGCAUGUAUUAGCUCUAGAAUUACCACAGUUAUCCAAGUAAUUGUGGGUACGAUCUAAGGAACCAUAACUGAUUUAAUGAGCCUUUCGCGGUUUCACCUUAAUUUGGCUUGUACUGAGACAUGCAUGGCUUAAUCUUUGAGACAAGCAUAUGAC